ensembl:lincRNA
CUUUUUGGUUUAUCCAGCAGGAGUAAAGCCUACCUCGGAAAUCUGAGGGUGGCCGCGAACCCAAAAGUCCAGAUUCGCAGGUGCGCGCGCUAAGGACUGAGCUAUUGGGGCGAUGGAAAGAGUCUCUCUCUGCGCCAAGGGCGGAAGGACAUGUUUAAAAAAAAAAAAAAAAAAAAAAAAAAAAAAAAAAUUAAUAGAUGGGAAGUAGAAAAAAUUAAAGCGCGGUUCGUUGGUCUAGGGGUAUGAUUCCCGCUUUGGGUGCGAGAGGUCCCUGGUUCAAAUCCCAGACGAGCCCUUUUUCCUUCUCUUUUUUCCCCUUUCGCAUUUUCAGCAAGGACGGGAGACUAGGAAGGCGAAGGGAGGCUGCUGUUGGCAGAGCCUCAGUGGGGACCUCCCGGGGUCCCGGGACGCAGACGGACGGGCCUGAAUCGCUCGCCUUGCAGUCGGUCCGUCACCCUGAAAUGGGAUCCAGCGCUGCCAACUGCGGGUUCGAGAGUAUGGCUGCUCCAGUCCCAGACUUCAGGAAACCGGAGUCUCCUCCUAGCUCUGCUCUGCUGGGUCCCCACCUCUCGCCACGAGGACGCCACGAAGGCCACAGAGAGAAGACGGAGUCAGCAGAGUAUGUGGCUCGUUGGUCUAGGGGUAUGAUUCUCGCUUAGGAUGCGAGAGGUCACGGGUUCCAAUCCCGGCCGACCCCAAGUUUUGGUCCAAAACAUCGGUUUCUACCCUUUCCUACUUUAGAUGAAGAUCAGAGAUCCAAACAACUCUGACAGGUCAGCGCAGUCCGAGUCCUUCGAUGUUAGUUUGUUUGUUUGCUUGUUUUGAGAGGGUGUCUCUGUGGACCCAGCUGAAGCGCAGUGGUGUGAUCUCACCUCACUGCAACCUCCUCCUCCUGGGUUCAAGCAAUUCUCCUGCCUCAGUCUCCCAGGUAGCUGGGACUACAGGCACGUGCCACCAUGCCUGGCUAAUUUUGUGUGUGUGUGUGUGUGUGUGUGUGUGUGUGUGUGUGUGUGUUUUGUUUUGUUUUGUUUUGUUUUUUAAGUAGAGACAGGGUUUCUCCGUGUUGGCCAGGCUGGUCUCCAACUCCUUACCUCAGGUGAUCAGCCCGCCUGGGCCUCCCAAAGUGCUAGGAUUACAGGCAUGACUCACCGCGCCCAGACUUCGAAGAUAAUUUGUACAAAGAUCCAAAGCUGUCUGACAGCACCCAGUGCCACAUUUAAAAUUUAUUUGGAGUUUUGUCGCCAGUGUCGCCAGAGCCCUAUCCCCUGAUAAGCUUAUUUUGUUUUCUGCUUUUUUAUUUUUAUUUUUUGUGACACUACUUUUGUCAGUAGGAACUCACUCGAGGCACUGAAGAAGAGGUAAGCUGUCCCUAUAUACAGUAAGAGCGAGUCUUCACAGUCAGAUACCUUAAAAGCUCUACCCUGGGAUUCCCACCCAGUGUCCCUGGCUCCGGCGGCUAGAGCCUUAACGGGAGAAAGCCGGGCACUUGAGCAGAGGAAAAGGGCUAUGGGCGUUUGCAUCUGGGGUCCAGAGUCCUCUCCCUCCCCACAUCCCGACACUCCUCACCUGCGUGUAGCCUUCUGGGGCUCCUCUGCUCCCCCAUCCUAGUUCUGGAAGGAGUGCAGACCGAACCCAGGAGCCUGGGUAUCCGCGUCCUGAGUCCUAGCGCCCACCAGGACUGGAGCCUCCUCGCAUCUACUCUGAGGACAAAAUCCACUGGCAGAAUCUUCGUUUUUGUUUGGGAUGCUGGGUUUGAGAACACGCCAUGAACCAAGAGUCGUAAAUAAUCCAAUUUUGAGCACUUGAGAACCAAGUGGAAAGAAACUCAAGACGAUUCAAAGUGACCAAUCUCUGGUUAUGCCCUUGAGCCCCUGCAGAAGCAAAGAAUAAUUUGUGUGUGCGUGUGGACAAAUACAUUUGUAUUCCAGAUCUCACAGAAAUUCCUACACCAAGAAAUUUACAAGGAAAAUGAACACUGCGCCCUAAAAAUUAACAAGGAAACAAGGUACCAGGAGCAACAACUCCUUAACAGGAACAGAAACUAAAUUGCAAACAUUUCAGAUGCAAAGUGUAUCAGACUCAUAAUACAACUAUUCCUGCAGUGUCUAAAAAUAUGAAAGGCAAUAAAGAAAAUAUCUUUGACAACAGGACCUCCAGCCUUCUAGACUGAAAAAAGAACCAAAUAGUUCUAGAUAUAAAAGCACACAGUAAUGGAAACGGAACAACUAAAUGCACAUCACGGUAGGUUACAGUGCGGAGCAGUAUUGCGAGGGCUUCUGUGAGUCCCAGUGAGCUCUGGGCAUUCUGUCUGCAACUGCAAGGAUGGCCGAUACACAGCAGAACUCUCCUGUGCCUGUAACUCGAGUGGCCUCAAAAAAAAAAAAAAAAAAAAAAAAAGGGUUGUCAUUGACUCUUUAAGUGCGUGCAGUCGCAGUCUGGGGACAUUUUUUCUCUUUCUGAAAGAAGGCCAUUUCAGCGGAGGGCACAGAUUGGGAGAACACAGAUUCAUGCCAGCGUGGUGCGGAAGGAGACUCUGGCGGGUCACCCCCAUUUAUGGGAGAACGCAGGGUGGUGAAGGAAGUCCUGCAUUAGCGGCGACGUCGGUGGGGACUGAGGCUGCUGUGGGGGACCCCAAGUGCGCUCUGGUUUCGGGGGAUGAUUCAUUACCUCACUUUGUUUUCACCACCCUUAGGCCACCCAGUCCAUUUGUAGGUAUAGAAAGAAGUCUAUAAGGAAGCCCGGCUAGCUCAGUCGGUAGAGCAUGAGACUCUUAAUCUCAGGGUCGUGGGUUCGAGCCCCACGUUGGGCGUAUGUUUUGAUUCUGGCUGUCUCUCCCAGAAUCUACCCUCUAUCUGUGGAGGUAGAGGCCCCUGACAGAUGCAGACUUGCUGGUACCUUUUAGAUGUACCCCAAGGGUACGUCUUUUCCUCCCAGCUCUCUGCCCCUGGCAAUGCAAGACUUGGUGAAAGAAGAAACUCAGGCCGGCGCGGUGGCUCAAGCUGUAUUCCCAGCCACUUUGGAGGCCGAGACGGGCGGAUCACGAGGUCAGGAGAUCAAGACCAUCCUGGCUAACACGGUGAACCCCGUCUCUACUAAAAAUACAAAAAAAAAAAAAAAACUAGCCAGGCGAGGUGGCGGGCCCCUGUAGUCCCAGCUGCUCAGGAGGCUGAGGCAGGAGCUUACAGUGAGCUGAGAUCUGGCCCACUGCACUCCAGUCUGGGCGACAGAGCAAGACUCCGUCUCUCAAAAAAAAAAAAAAAAAAAUUUAGCAGGCUUGGUGGUGCCCCCUAUACUCCCAGUUACUUAGGAAGCUCGAGAAGAAAUCCCUUGAAUGUGAGGCACAGU